UACGUAGGGUGCAAGCGUUAAUCGGAAUUACUGGGCGUAAAGCGUGCGCAGGCGGUUUUGUAAGUCUGUCGUGAAAUCCCCGGGCUUAACCUGGGAAUGGCGAUGGAGACUGCAAGGCUAGAGUUUGGCAGAGGGGGGUAGAAUUCCACGUGUAGCAGUGAAAUGCGUAGAGAUGUGGAGGAACACCGGUGGCGAAGGCGGCCAUCUGGCCAAAUACUGACGCUGAGAUACGAAAGUGUGGGGAUCAAACAGG
rnacentral:rRNA from 1 species